AUUGAACGCUGGCGGCAUGCCUUACACAUGCAAGUCGAACGGCAGCACGGGUGCUUGCACCUGGUGGCGAGUGGCGAACGGGUGAGUAAUACAUCGGAACAUGUCCUGUAGUGGGGGAUAGUCCGGCGAAAGCCGGAUUAAUACCGCAUAAGAUCUACGGAUGACAGAGGGGGACCUUCGGGCCUCGCGUUUUAGGGUUGGCUGAUGGCUGAUUAGCUAGUUGGUGGGGUAAAGGCCUACCAAGGCGACGAUCAGUAGCUGGUCUGAGAGGACGAUCAGCCACACUGGGACUGAGACACGGCCCAGACUCCUACGGGAGGCAGCAGUAGGGAAUUUUGGACAAAGGGCGAAAGCCUGAUCCAGCAAUGCCGCGUGUGUGAAGAAGGCCUUCGGGUUGUAAAGCACUUUUGUCCGGAAAGAAAUCCUGGGCCCUAAUACGGUCGGGGGAUGACGGUACCGGAAGAAUAAGCACCGGCUAACUACGUG
rnacentral:rRNA from 1 species